CACGUAGGGUGCGAGCGUUGUCCGGAAUUAUUGGGCGUAAAGAGCUCGUAGGCGGUGUGUCGCGUCGGCCGUGAAAACCUCGCAGCUUAACUGUGGGCUUGCGGUCGAUACGGGCAUCACUGGAGUCGGCAGGGGAGACUGGAAUUCCGGGUGUAGCGGUGGAAUGCGUAGAGAUCCGGGAAGAACACCGGUGGCGAAGGCGGCCUGCUGGGCAGAGCUGCGCG
rnacentral:rRNA from 1 species